rnacentral:snRNA from 1 species
CUACUACCGGCCAAGCCGCUAAGAAGAA